ensembl:lncRNA novel transcript
UCACUGACUUCAAGAAUGAAGCCGUGGACCCUCGCGGUGAGUGUCACAGCUCUUCAAGGCGGCGUGUCCGGAGUUCUUUCCUUCUGAUGCUCGGAUGUGUUCAGAGUUUCUUCCUUCUGGAUCCUGUGCACUUUAUUCUUCCCUACCAGCCUCAGAAGCCACGUGCUGAAGACAGUGAAGUUCUGUCUGGGAAGAAGCAUCGAUCCCUAAAUGACUGCAUGGAGCAGAGCAGAGAUGUCUGCUCACUAAGUUGGUUCGAAGCUGAGGAGGAAAAAAAUUAGGUGCUAGGAUGCUGGAGAGAUCCUCAGAAACCCCUCUACAUGAAUCAUUUAAGUAGAUGAAGAGCUAGAUUGCAAUAAUCAUUGGGAGGAGAAGAAGAAUAAAACAUGAGAUUCCAUUCACAUCCCAGAAUUAAAGGUACUGUCGUGAUGCCCAUUUUACAGAUGAAGAAACUGAGGUUUCCAGAGGUCCAGUCCCUGCCUGAGCUGAUGCAGUUACGAAGGCUGAAGCCCGGACUUGAUUUGAGUUCGGCCUGCGGAGCCCCGGCUGAGCUACCUGCCUUCUAGCCCCACGGUGGAAAGGGAGAAUCCAGACAUCCUUGAGACCUACCCAAGGAGUUUCCCUGUUACUGCCCUGCCAUCCUUCUGAUGCCACCCUGUUCCGUAUCUGGCUGGAGCCAGCGUGGUUGUGUCUGGGUUUGGCUCCAUAGUAGAUGUUCUCGGUGGCCUUACUAUUCCUGUGCACGCCGGCCACUUUUGCCUGAAGCUCUCUGUGGCUGCCAAUGCCCACUUUGUUGAAAGUACUUGGAAAUUAAGACCCUCUAGGGAGUAUCUCUGAGUUGUGCCUGGUGAGAUUUCAUGAAGGAAUGGCCCAGCUCCUGCAGACCUAGGCGGGAUGUCUGAGGUGCACCUUCUACACGCUCUUUCAGUUGGAUUAAGUCCUAGGAUGCCCACAGGGGUCACUGAG